UGUCUACUCUCUCCGUCCCAAAAUUAUUGUCUUAGAUUUGUCUAGAUAUGAAUGUAUCUAAUACUAAAAUGUGACUUGAUACAUCCGUAUUUAGAUAAAUCUAAGACAAGAAUUUUGGGACGGAGGGAGUAUAUC
rnacentral:pre_miRNA from 1 species